UACGAAGGGGGCUAGCGUUGCUCGGAAUCACUGGGCGUAAAGCGCACGUAGGCGGCUUGUUAAGUCAGGGGUGAAAUCCUGGAGCUCAACUCCAGAACUGCCUUUGAUACUGAAGAUCUUGAGUUCGGGAGAGGUGAGUGGAACUGCGAGUGUAGAGGUGAAAUUCGUAGAUAUUCGCAAGAACACCAGUGGCGAAGGCGGCUCACUGGCCCGGUACUGACGCUCAUGUGCGAAAGCGUGGGGAGCAAACAGG
rnacentral:rRNA from 1 species